CCUACGGGUGGCAGCAGUGGGGGAUAUUGCACAAUGGGGGAAACCCUGAUGCAGCGACGCCGCGUGUGGGAAGACGGUCUUCUGGAUUGUAAACCUCUUUUGUCGGAGAACAAAACCCGGGACGUGUCCCGGACUGCGUGUAUCCGAAGAAAAAGCAUCGGCUAACUCCGUGCCAGCAGCCGCGGUAAUACGGGGGAUGCGAGCGUUAUCAGGAUUUAUUGGGUUUAAUGGGUGCGUAGGCGGUCCGUUAAGUCAGCGGUAAAAUUGUGGGGCUCAACCCCGUCGAGCCGUUGAAACUGGCAGACUUGAGUUGGCGAGAAGUACGCGGAAUGCGCGGUGGAGCGGUGAAAUGCAUAGAUAUCGCGCAGAACUCCGAUUGCGAAGGCAGCGUACCGGCGCCAGACUGACGCUGAGGCACGAAAGCGUGGGGAUCGAACAGGAUUAGAUACCCUGGUAGUC
rnacentral:rRNA from 1 species